CUUGCAUCUGGAUUCUUAGGUGGUGGAUUAGAGCUAUUCUUUCCUUGCAGACUUGAUAUCUGUGAUGUAUGCAUCCUGUGGUUAUAAUUCAAUGCUUAUUGGGAUUUUGUGAGGCUUAGAAUGAGUCUUCACCUUGCAGACAAAUACUAGUGUGGCCAAUUCUCUUGGAACAUAUUUAUUAUCUCAGAUUUCUUUAAUAUUCCUGGACAUGCUCAAUGUGUACAGAAUGUACAGUGAGCUUAUAUCAAGUAGUAUUGCAGAAGGUGUACCCUUUGCUUCAAAAACAUCCUAUGUGAAACUUCUAUGAUCUGUUCAGAGGGAGACUCUUAAGCUCAUUAAGACAUUUUUAGACAAGGCAGAAGAUCAACCGAAAAUUGGGGAAAAAUUUGUGCCCCCAAUGAUGGAUCCAAUUCUUGGUGAUUAUGCUAGGAAUUUGCCAGAUGCCAGAGAGUCUGAAGUUUUAUCACUUUUUGCUACAAUAAUAAACGAGUCUGGGAAAAAGGAAACAACUGAAUCAGAGACCAACACCAUCGAUGGAGCUAUCGCGAACCUCACCUUCGAUAAGAUGGAUAUGAACGUUCGAGACUUUCCGGUUUGCCACACCCGACAACUCUAAGCAAAAUUGUUAUCGAAGUGAAUGGAAAAGCAAACACGAGUUUCAAGUCAGUCGCUCAGAGAUCCAUUACGCUAAGCACAAAGUGAUGCUGGAGUUGCAGACAUGGAUAUGCAUCGAGAACUACUGCAACCGACAAGAAUACCGCCACUUAAAAAGAAUGAUUGAAAGGGAAGCUCAAAGGAAAAGAUUUAGAUUAAAUUCUUUUGGGCGUGUUUCAAUCAUUGAAUAUGUGUAUAUAUUGCUACUGCUCCCCGCUCGGCUCAGUUUUACUUUUAUUUUAAUAUUUAAGAUAACUUGGAUACUAGCUUUUAGAUUUUAA